rnacentral:rRNA from 1 species
UACGUAGGGUGCAAGCGUUAAUCGGAAUUACUGGGCGUAAAGCGUGCGCAGGCGGUUAUGUAAGACAGGUGUGAAAUCCCCGGGCUUAACCUGGGAACUGCAUUUGUGACUGCAUAGCUAGAGUACGGUAGAGGGGGAUGGAAUUCCGCGUGUAGCAGUGAAAUGCGUAGAUAUGCAGAGGAACACCGAUGGCGAAGGCAAUCCCCUGGACCUGUACUGACGCUCAUGCACGAAAGCGUGGGGAGCAAACAGG